GGCAGAAGUUGGCUAAGAAAGGCUGGAUGCUGGGCAACCUCAGGUCAAAAUGACAGCUGAGAAAUCACACCUGAACCCAGAGAUCCCAUUCAACAGGUGUAUGAGGUCACGGGGGAUUGAAGGAUUGAAGACAUUUCACUUAGAAAUAACACAGAUCUAUCUGGUGUGCCUCGAGGGACAGAAGAGGAUUCUACUACCUUAGAAACCACGAACUGACAGCCAAGCCUUAACACACUGCCCUUUGGGAGACAUGUCUGUGCCAUGGGAUAUUAGAAUGCCACUGAACAACUGCAUGUGGAGACCUGGGUGAAAGUUUAACAGGGGCAACAUUCUU
rnacentral:lncRNA from 1 species